rnacentral:rRNA from 1 species
UAGAGUAAAUUUAUUUAUAUUUAUUUUUAAAAAAUAAUUUUAUUUUUAGUAUUGUUUAAAGAAAAAAUAGUGAUUAUUAUAGUGUAUAGUAUUGAAAAAGAAUAUUGAAAUAAUUGAAAAAUUUUUAAAGGAGAAGAAGAUUUUAUUUAUUGUACCUUUUGUAUCAGGGGUUAUUAAUUAAUUAAUAAGGAUUUUUAUUAGUUUCGAAAUAAAAAGAUUUAAUUUAAUAAUAUUUUUAGUGUAAUAAAAUUAUUUUAAAUAUUAAGUUGGAAUUAAGACAUUAAUCGGGUUUUAUUAUAUCUAGUUUUUUAAGAGAUAAAUUAAAUUUAGUUUAUAAUUAAGUUAUAUUAAAUUAUUUUUAUAAUUUAAUAAAGAUUUAUAAAUAAUAUAUAGAGGGAUAAGCUUUUAUAUAUUUAUUAUAAUUAGAUAAGAGGUAUAAAUUAUAUAUUCUUAGAAAUAGAAAUUAUAAAUUAGUAUGUUAUAAUUUAGUGAAAUUUAUUGUUAUUAUUUAUUUAUUUUUAAUAAAAUUUAUUAAAAUAUUUAAUUUAAUUAGAAAAUUAAAGGAAUAAUGAUAAUAUUAGUAUAUUUAUAUUUGAUAAAAAUAAGAGAGACUUAGGGUUUUAAAUAUAAGGAAUUCGGCAAAUUUAGUGUUCGCCUGUUUAUUAAAAACAUGUCUUUUAGAAUUUAAUUUAAGGUUUAAUCUGCCCACUGAUGAAUUAAAGGGCCGCAGUAUAUUAACUGUGCAAAGGUAGCAUAAUCAUUAGUUUUUUAAUUGAAAGCUAGAAUGAAUGAUUGGACGAAAUAUUUACUGUCUUAUAUUUAUUUAAUUAGAACUUUAUUUUUUAAUUAAAAGGUUAAAAUGAGGUAAAAAGACGAGAAGACCCUAUAGAUCUUUAUAGACACUUAAUUUAAUAAGAUUAAGUUAAGUAUUAUUUUUGAUUAGGUGUGUAUUAUAUUGGGGUAAUAAUAAAAUUUAUAUAAUUUUUAUUUAGUAGUUACAAUUAUAGUUGAUUAUUUUGAUCCAAUAUUAUUGAUUAUAAAGUUAAGUUACCUUAGGGAUAACAGCGUAAUGAUUUUUGAGAGUUCUUAUCGAUAAAAUAGAUUGUGACCUCGAUGUUGAAUUAAAAUUUAUUUUAGGUGCAGGUGUUUAAGUAAUAAAGUCUGUUCGACUUUUAAUAUUUUACAUGAUUUGAGUUUAGACCGGCGUAAGCCAGGUCAGUUUCUAUCUUUUAUAUUUUUGCAUGCUUUAGUACGAAAGGAUUGGGCAUGGGAUAAAUUUUAUUAAAGUUUAUGGUUGAUUUUAAUUGGUAAAAUAAA